GGCUCACUGGGGAAGAGGCAAGAGGCCCCCGAGCUCUGCGACAUGGCCCUCUGGGGCAGGCGGUUGGCCGCCCGGCUCCUGGCUUUACCAGCCCAGGCCAGGACCUCCCACGCUGACCGCUAGGAGGCCGGGGCUCGGGGCCAGCCAGCGACCAUCAUGGGCAACUUGGCUCCCCGACCUAGCUGCCUCGGGGAGAAGGGGCACCGCUCUGAAGAGUUCCUGCGGGGUGGCCGAGGAGGAGGGGGAACCGAACCGGAGCUCGGCCCCGCCGGCCCGGCUCUCCCGGACCCCCUGCCGCCGGCCAGGCUUGGGAGCCCCGUCCUGCCAGACAAGCCGUGGGGCUGGCAGGCCCGCAGCACACGGGAAGUGACCGAGGUGACGGAGGUGACGGAGACGGUGGUGACAGAGAUUGUGGAGGUGACCCGUUAUCCAGGAAGCGGACGUCCCACCGUGACCCGCACCGUGACGGUGCUGACCGAGAGCGCCGCGGAGCUGCCCCUGGCUCCCUCGCAGGUGGUCCUUCCCGCUGCGGAGUUCUCGGAACCCCCUGAGACCCUCGUGUCGCUGCAGGCCUGGUUGGCUGACAUGGAAGAGCUGCUGGCUGGCCAGAGGCCCCUGGCCGCUGAGGUCAAAGUGGCCAUAGCCCAACUGCAGGAGCAGAAGGUGUGUUAGUCGGGGAGCGGGAGGAAGGUGGGGACGUAUUCCCGGAGAACCCCGUCUCCCCACAGCUCUAGCCAGGGUCAGUCCACUCCAGUUCUCCCUCCUUUCCAGACUUUGCCGUCUCCUAACCCCUGGGGGCCCCGGUACCGACAUCUGGCUC
rnacentral:lncRNA from 1 species